rnacentral:misc_RNA from 1 species
AAGAUCCCUACCGGAAGCGCUUCAUCCAGGAUUGCCGCGCGUUCGACCUCGCCUCCGAACCGACCGCUGGACAUGCGCUCGCCUACCUCGGUUCGGCGGGCGGCGGGGGNNNNNNNCCGCCAAGGACUGGUUCACCUGGCGGUACAUCGCUCUUCUCGCGCUAACCGGCCGCGGUCGUCGCAUCAAGGGUUGGCUUCUCGCCCCCGCCGACGGCGUCGCUUCGUGCGGCUACGGUGAACUGCCCAACUUCACCGCCACCAGGAUCACGGAGCCCCCGCGAUGAACGCGCUGUCGGGAUUGUUGGAGUACGAAGAGGUCCUCGCCAGGACCCGCUAUCCGAAGGUCGCCAUCCAGCGCGCU